UGUUAUGACCCAGGAUCCUUACAUGGAUGGUCCCGCGUCGCCCUCCACGCAGUCCUAAGCGCUCGGUGCUGCUUUUUCGUGCCCAUUUUACCGAUGAGGAAACUGAGGGUUAGAGAGGACCAAACGACUGGCUAAAGGGCAGUGGAAAUCCUCAAAUAUAUACAUGCUUUCUGUGCUAGCAGUUUCGGGAGUUGGGUUUUGUUUUGCUUCUCUCAAUUUUCUUCAUUGUGGUAAAAUACACAUAACAGAAUUUGCCAUAUUGACCAUUUUUAAGUGCACUGUUCAGUGGUAUUAAAUACAUUCAUAAUCUCCAGCGAUCACCAUCACCCAUCUUGUAAAACAAGCUCUAGACCCAUUAAAAACUCCCCUUUCCUGGCUGGCUCGGUGGGCAGACCUAGGGACUCCUGCUCUCCGGGUCCACGGCUGGAGCGCCGCUCUGGGUACAGAGAUUGCUUACCAAACAACAAACACUUCCCCAUUCCCCCCUCCCCCAGGCUCUGGCACCCACUUGGAAUUAGGUAUUUUUGAACCUAUUUCACAAAUAUGAAAAAACUAAGACCGGUAGAAAUAGCAUCAGCAGCAUCCAAGGCUGGGGCUUCCUACCCCACUCCUACCUGCACCAUCGCGGCACCCCCCCCCCAUUCCCCUGCUGCCUUCCAAAUGGGAGCAGCCGCCCUGCCCUGGGGCUCCUGGGGCUCCUGGGCUGGGGAGAAAUGGGGGUGGGGGGGCAAAGCCCCUAUUGAGGGAGGAGAAUGGGAAAGUUUCUAAGUAGGGUGGGACUCAGCCCUGGGGCCGGUUAGGGAGGGGUAGGACCGAUCCCAGAACUGCAGCACAGGAGGGUGAUGGAGGCAGAGAAAGGCAGAGGUCGGGCUAGGAUUACAAAGUAACCGCUUUUCCAAGAACACAACAGGCUUGUUUACGAGUCUCUGAAGGCAGAACUGCGGGUCCAGGGGAGCUCCCCUCCCCCCCUGGUUCUGCCGUUUGCUACCGUUGGGGCCCCCUGACCCCUUCCUCCCACUUCUGGAGUGACAGGCAGUGAUGCCCACUUUUCCUUCAGUGUUAUCAGUGAAAUGGGCUGACCCCACCCCACACCAGGCAGGGCUAUAGGGAGGAUCAGAGGAGAUAAUGAUCUGUGACCACCAACAGAUAAUCCUUAGUAAACAACAGAGCUGAAGCUUCAGGGGCCCCUCUCUGGGGGCUCUUCUGACCUCUUACAUUUUGUAAUCCUCUGAGGACCCCCAAAUCCCAUCACCUGUAAGCCCCACAAAGACUGGAUCAUCCCAACCUUCUCUGAGAGCCACAGGCUGCCUUACAGGCAGGAGUGAGGAGGCCUAUAAAAUAGGGGACCCUCUCCAAAUGCCUCACUCAGAAGGAAAGUAAUGACACAGAGGCUGGUGGGCCAAAAAGACCCGAUGUGCCGGAGAAUACCUCCAGAGGGGCUUCGAGGCUGAAGGUGCAGAGGCCAGGCACAUAGACUGCCUGAUGCAGCAGGAAUGAGCAUCCUGGUGUCACAGACACCAGAGCACCCACAACGGGUCCCAGAGCAGGCAAGAGACAACUUGCGACCCCAUUUUACAGAUCAGGAAACUGAGGAUCUAAAAAAGGAGGCUAGUGGCGCCCCGCUGGCUCAGUCGGAGGAGUACUUUUGGCCUCGCCUUGGGACACCUGAUCUGGAAAAUUCUCCCGCUCUGAGAGGCUUCGUAAUAUCAGGAGGGACCCAUCAAAGGGCUUUGCUGUUCUCUCCUGACUUGUGCCUGAGCUCCUCGCCAGGAGGCUGUGGAGAGCUCUGUGGGCUGGGCGUGUUCCUGGGUGAUUUCGUGUCACCUUCAUGUGCUCCUGCAAGGGAGUGGGGGACAGUGACACCCAGUUGUGAGGACGGCAGCGGGUGCCUGAAGAGACCGUCAUGCGAUGACUGUCCCAGGUCACUCAGCAGCUGGUGGGGCUACUGCGUCCCUUGUUACCUGUUUUGCUCUGUCCUUCCACCACACCUUCUGCUGUCGCCCGUAUUUAUUUACAAAUGUGUUUGUCUAUUGUCGGACUCCCCGCUCCCCACUGAGACUGAGCCGGGCUUGGUUUGUUCUGGGCAGGGCUCGAGGGUGGGGGCUCAGUCAGUACUUGCUGAGCCAGCAAAUGCAUUGAGGAUGAGCACCUCCGGGCUUGUCUGUUUUGAGUCAGUUUCCUCCCUGUGUCCUUACAUCAUUUCUCCCCCAAGAACCACAUUUUACAAUAGUUUCUAUGGCAGCUCGCAGCUUCCUCCCUCUUCUUUAAGUGAGGGUGGGGGAGGAACUGCGGCUUUACAACCUGGGGAGUGGGGUAUGUGUGUGCAUAUUCACAUGUUGUCUAUGGAACUGUAGGGGGGAAGAUGGGGACAUUCUCCAGAUACCUCUGGGGGUUGGUCCCCCUUGGAGUCCAAUGACAUGGUGGGGGGGGGGAGGCGGGGGGGGGUUGAACCUUUGUGCAGGGGGGAGUUUCCCCGGGUCACUGGGUUAAGAGACACAUCCCCACAGGCUAGCCCUGCCUGGAAUUUCUGGGGAGCAGGUCCAGGCAGUCUCUACAGGUCACCGUAGGGCUGUGUGACCAUGCAUCCGUGGGGGCCCCGGGGCACAUGAAUCUGGAGUCCGGGCUGUAUACAGCCAAUAGCACUUGGCUUCUCUGAGAAUUCGAGGAAGCUUCAGGAAUGACCGAGAUCAAGGUCAGUGGCCAGAACCAAGCAUCUGUCUUCAGCUGGGGAGCCGCUGGAGAUGGAGGGAAGGUGGAGGUGGGGAAGGGUCCCUGGGUGCCCAGAGCCUGGAGGCAGAUACUUCUCCAGGCCCUAGAGAGGCCUCAGGGGACAAGAGUCAGCGGUAGUAAGAGUAUUUUUGAAAGUCAAGGCUGGUUCUCAGCUGCUUGAGUAAUGCCUUGGAAACCCGGAGAGCUUAGUUACCCCCUCAGAUCUCUCCCAAGAGUCUGGCGCUGGCCUUCUCACAGCCCCGCUAACUCACCUGCUCCCACACCGGCAUCCGCCAGUCUCAGCUGACAUCCCGUCCCAGCUGACGGCAGCCGCGUCCUUCCAGGUGCUCAGGCCAAAGACCUCAGAGUUGUCCUCGAUGGUUCCUUCUCUUACACCUGCCACCUCCUUGAAUGUGGGCCAGGUUCAACUCCCUCCUCCCCUCCUCCCUUCUUCCCUUCUUUUCUUCCUGUAAACUCUACCCCCAACGUGGGCCUUGAACUCACAAUCCCAAGAUCACGAGUCGCCUGCUCUACUCACUGAGCCAGCCAG